rnacentral:rRNA from 1 species
CCUACGGGAGGCAGCAGUGAGGAAUAUUGGUCAAUAGCCGAGAGGCUGAACCAGCCAAGUCGCGUGAGGGAAGACGGCCCUACGGGUUGUAAACCUCUUUUGUCGGGGAGCAAAGCGAGUCACGUGUGACUCAUUGAGAGUACCCGAAGAAAAAGCAUCGGCUAACUCCGUGCCAGCAGCCGCGGUAAUACGGAGGAUGCGAGCGUUAUCCGGAUUUCUUGGGUUUAAAGGGUGCGCAGGCGGAGGUGCACGUCAGCGGUCAAAGUGCGGGGCUCAACCCCGUACUGCCGUUGAACCUGCAUCCCUUGAGUGCGCGAGAAGUAUGCGGAAUGCGUGGUGUAGCGGUGAAAUGCAGAGAUAUCACGCAGAACGCCGAUUGCGAAGGCAGCAUACCGGCGCGCAACUGACGCUCAUGCACGAAAGCGUGGGUAUCGAACAGGAUUAGAUACCCCAGUAGUC